GGCCUCGUAGCUCAGAGGAUAGAGCGUCAGCCUUCUAAGCUGUUGGUCGCAAGUUCGAGUCUUGCCGAGGUCGCCA
rnacentral:tRNA from 1 species